rnacentral:snRNA from 1 species
ACACUUACCUGGUAGGUGAGAUACCAUGAUUGUGAAGGUGGUUUUUCCAGAACAAGGCUUAUCUAUUCCACUUCAGAUGUGUUGACCCCUGCAAUUUCCCCAAAUGUAGGACACUGACUGCAUAACUUGUGGUAGUGGGGGACUGCGUUCAUGUUUUCCCCUG